rnacentral:rRNA from 1 species
GAGGAAAGAGGGAGGAGUGAAUAAUACAUGCAAGUCGAGCGAACAGACGAGGAGCUUGCUCCUCUGACGUUAGCGGCGGACGGGUGAGUAACACGUGGAUAACCUACCUAUAAGACUGGGAUAACUUCGGGAAACCGGAGCUAAUACCGGAUAAUAUAUUGAACCGCAUGGUUCAAUAGUAAAAGACGGUUUUGCUGUCACUUAUAGAUGGAUCCGCGCCGCAUUAGCUAGUUGGUAAGGUAACGGCUUACCAAGGCAACGAUGCGUAGCCGACCUGAGAGGGUGAUCGGCCACACUGGAACUGAGACACGGUCCAGACUCCUACGGGAGGCAGCAGUAGGGAAUCUUCCGCAAUGGGCGAAAGCCUGACGGAGCAACGCCGCGUGAGUGAUGAAGGUCUUCGGAUCGUAAAACUCUGUUAUUAGGGAAGAACAAAUGUGUAAGUAACUAUGCACGUCUUGACGGUACCUAAUCAGAAAGCCACGGCUAACUACGUG